GAACGGGUGAGUAACACGUGGGAAACCUACCUCUUAGCAGGGGAUAACAUUUGGAAACAGAUGCUAAUACCGUAUAACAAUGACAACCGCAUGGUUGUUAUUUAAAAGAUGGUUCUGCUAUCACUAAGAGAUGGUCCCGCGGUGCAUUAGCUAGUUGGUAAGGUAAUGGCUUACCAAGGCGAUGAUGCAUAGCCGAGUUGAGAGACUGAUCGGCCACAAUGGGACUGAGACACGGCCCAUACUCCUACGGGAGGCAGCAGUAGGGAAUCUUCCACAAUGGGCGAAAGCCUGAUGGAGCAACGCCGCGUGUGUGAUGAAGGGUUUCGGCUCGUAAAACACUGUUGUAAGAGAAGAAUGACAUUGAGAGUAACUGUUCAAUGUGUGACGGUAUCUUACCAGAAAGGAACGGCUAAAUACGUGCCAGCAGCCGCGGUAAUACGUAUGUUCCAAGCGUUAUCCGGAUUUAUUGGGCGUAAAGCGAGCGCAGACGGUUAUCUAAGUCUGAAGUGAAAGCCCUCAGCUCAACUGAGGAAUUGCUUUGGAAACUGGAUGACUUGAGUGCAGUAGAGGAAAGUGGAACUCCAUGUGUAGCGGUGAAAUGCGUAGAUAUAUGGAAGAACACCAGUGGCGAAGGCGGCUUUCUGGACUGUAACUGACGUUGAGGCUCGAAAGUGUGGGUAGCAAACAGGAUUAGAUACCCUGGUAGUCCACACCGUAAACGAUGAG
rnacentral:rRNA from 1 species